UCUUAUGGAUGAGCAAAGAAAGUGGUUUCUUGAGAUGGAAUCUACUCCUGGUGAAGAUGCUGUGAA
rnacentral:pre_miRNA from 15 species